GCUGGAUAGCUCAGUUGGUCUGACAUGAGACUCUUAAUUUCAGAGUCGUGGGUUCAAGACCCACAUUGUGCA